GUGGGGAAUUUUGGACAAUGGGCGCAAGCCUGAUCCAGCAAUGCCGCGUGCAGGAAGAAGGCCUUCGGGUUGUAAACUGCUUUUGUACGGAACGAAACGGUCCGGGUUAAUACCCUGGGCUAAUGACGGUACCGUAAGAAUAAGCACCGGCUAACUACGUGCCAGCAGCCGCGGUAAUACGUAGGGUGCAAGCGUUAAUCGGAAUUACUGGGCGUAAAGCGUGCGCAGGCGGUUUUGUAAGACAGGCGUGAAAUCCCCGGGCUCAACCUGGGAAUUGCGCUUGUGACUGCAGUGCUGGAGUGCGGCAGAGGGGGAUGGAAUUCCGCGUGUAGCAGUGAAAUGCGUAGAUAUGCGGAGGAACACCGAUGGCGAAGACAAUCCCCUGGGCCUGCACUGACGCUCAUGCACGAAAGCGUGGGGAGCAAACAGGAUUAGAAACCCCGGUAGUCC
rnacentral:rRNA from 1 species